CAAAACUGUAUGACCCGAAUAAUCCAGGGUCGCCCAUGCCUCAGAUUGCUAGCAAUAAUCAUAUUCGGAUCAGCUUGUCAGAGCAACUCUUUGUGGUUAGGUGCAGCCACCAGCCAGUGAAAUAGGGUUACUUAUUUUGGGAAAUUCUGAAAUAUUUUUUUCCUGUAGCUGUCCUGCUGUAUAGCGAUCCAUACACCUUGUGGGUUCCAUUUGUUUUACAGGACUACAAUUUAGUAGCUAUACCAUUUUGCAACUCUAAUCAGACUAAGUCUGCACGUAGCAAAACUACAUUUUAGAAAAG
rnacentral:misc_RNA from 1 species